CCUACGGGUGGCUGCAGUGGGGAAUAUUGCACAAUGGACGAAACUCUGAUGCAGCGACGCCGCGUGCGUGAAGAAGUAAUUCGUUAUUUAAAGCUGUAUCUGCAGGGAGGAAAAUGACGGUACCUGAAUAAGAAGCCCAGGCUAACUACGUGCCAGCAUCCGCGGUAAUACGUAGGGGGCAAGCGUUAUCCGGAUUUACUGGGUGUAAAGGGAGCGUAUACGGCAGUACAAGUCUGGAGUGAAAGGCGGGGGCUCAACCCCCGGACUGCUCGGGAAACUGUACGGCUGGAGUGUAGGAGAGGUAAGUGGAAUGUCUAGUGUAGCGGUGAAAUGCGUAGAGAUUAGGCGGAACACCAGUGGCGAAGGCGGCUUACUGGACUGUAACUGACGUUGAGGCUCGAAAGCGUGGGGAGCAAACAGGAUUAGAUACCCUAGUAGUC
rnacentral:rRNA from 1 species